AUAUGUUUUGUGCUUACUCUAUGUUAUUUGACUAUUCAGGUAUUAUCUCAAUUGUAUUUUGAAAGUUUUGAGUUUGUUGUUUAUUUCAUGCAGGAACCUGCAUCAGAGAUACAAGACAAGAUUUUAUUUAUUAUUAAUAAUAUUUCAGCUUCAAAUAUGGAUGGGAAAGCAAAAGAAUUUACUGAUGUCCUGAAAGAGUAGUACUAUCCAUGGUUUGCUCAGUAUAUGGUGAUGAAAAGAGCAAGCAUUGAGCCAAAUUUUCAUGAGCUGUACUUGGAAGUUCUUGGAGAAAGUUAAUUCAAGAUUGCUGAAUAAGGAGAUUGUCAAAGCUACUUAUGAGAAUUGCAAGACACGGACGAAUGAGGUCCAGCUAGAGCUUCUACAAGGGACCUUCAAGUGCCUGGAAUGCAGUUUUGUCAUCAGGAAUGUCGAAUAACAAUUCAAAUACACUAAGG